rnacentral:rRNA from 1 species
GAUGAACGCUGGCGGCGUGCCUAAUACAUGCAAGUCGAACGCGCAGCGAGAGGUGCUUGCACCUUUCAAGCGAGUGGCGAACGGGUGAGUAACACGUGGAUAACCUGCCUCAAGGCUGGGGAUAACAUUUGGAAACAGAUGCUAAUACCGAAUAAAACUUAGUAUCGCAUGAUAUCAAGUUAAAAGGCGCUACGGCGUCACCUAGAGAUGGAUCCGCGGUGCAUUAGUUAGUUGUGGGGUAAAGGCUUACCAAGACGAUGAUGCAUAGCCGAGUUGAGAGACUGAUCGGCCACAUUGGGACUGAGACACGGCCCAAACUCCUACGGGAGGCUGCAGUAGGGAAUCUUCCACAAUGGGCGCAAGCCUGACUGGAGCAACGCCGCGUGUGUGAUGAAGGCUUUCGGGUCGUAAAGC